rnacentral:lncRNA from 1 species
UUAACAGCCAGGUCCUUGCCUGCUGUGCAGUCUGAUGAAAGACUUCAGCCUCUGCUCAAUCACCUCAGCAGUAUGAUAGAAAGCUGGCGCUGAGCUCUGAAUGGAGAAGGGUGCGUCUCUUUCCCUGGCUACCUGUUAGGAUUCUCCUUUAGAACCAUCUUUUGGCACUUCCAGUCAUUCCUACACUGGCCAAGAUUACAGUACCCAG